GACGAACGCUGGCGGCAUGCCUAACACAUGCAAGUCGAACGCGAACUUCUGGUCUAGUGGCGAACGGGUGCGUAACGCGUGGGAACCUUCACUUGGGUUCGGUAUAACUCUCCGCAAGGGGUGCUAAUACCGGACGAAUUCUACGGACCCAUGAUUAAUCGACAUUGGAUGGGCCCGUGUUAGAAUUGCUAUUUGGUAGGGUAAACGCCUACCAAGGCGACGUUCCAUAGCUGGUGUGAGAGGAUGAUCAGCCACACUGGGAGUGAGACACGUCGCAGACUCCUACGGGAGGAAGCAGUGGGGAAUAUUCGACAAUGGGCGAGAGCCUGAGCCAGCAAGGCCGUGUGAGUGAUGAAGGAGUGAGGGUUGUAAAGGACUGUUAACAGGGAUGAUAAUGACAGUACCGGGAGAAUAAGCUCCGGCUAACUACGUG
rnacentral:rRNA from 1 species